rnacentral:rRNA from 1 species
AUGGCCACGGGCACGGAACCCAUCGACGCCGUACCGCUGCAGGCGGUGUACUACGACCAUGCCGGGAUGGCCUCGCACCUCUUAAGGCUGCGCCACGGCGGCGCCAGAGAUGUCACAGCGAACGACGUCGCGUCCACCUCAGGCAGCGCCGUGGCGGUGCCAUUCUCCAUUGAGCCCAUUGACGCCGUUCCGCUGCGGGCGGCACCGCGCCGGUACAUCCCUCUCGCCGCCGAUGCAGCCCCGACGGAGCCGGCCUGGAUACGCGCGACGCUGGGCCUCCCCGCCGGAGUGCGGCUCAGCUUCAUCGCCCAGAAGCGCAUCGAGCGCUCGGACCUCGACCUGCAGCAGAGCCGCCUGCUGAUCCCGAGCGGCGACGUGGCCCGGCUCCUCCCGCUCCUCUCCGAGGACGGGCUCCGCGCCGCCAACCUGGACAAGCCAUGGACGAGGCAGAAGCGGAAGGCGUCCGGCAACCACAGCGACAGCAGCGAGGAGAAGAAGGCGAGGGCGCAGGGGAAGAAGCACGGCGGGCUGGUCGUGCCGGUCUACGUCAACCAUGCCGGCGACCGGAUGAAUGCUGAGCUGACGCGAUGGACCUCUAACGGCAACACGGUGCUGAAAUUCGGAAGCCACCGGAGCUUCGUCGACGUGAGUGGGCUACAAGUGAUGGAUGAGAUCCAGAUAUGGGCGUUUCGGCAGGACGGUGGUCUCAUGUGUUUGGUCAUCGCCAAGAUAUAG